GGGCACGCCUGCCUGGGUGUCAC
rnacentral:rRNA from 1 species